GGAAUUUUGGGCAAUGGGCGAAAGCCUGACCCAGCAACGCCGCGUGAAGGAUGAAAUCCUUCGGGAUGUAAACUUCGCAAGAACGGGAAGAAUAAGUAAGAGCUAACAUCUCGUACGAUGACGGUACUGUUUGUAGGAUCCGGCUAACUCCGUGCCCGCAUCCGCGGUAAUACGGGGGGAGCAAGCGUUGUUCGGCUUUACUGGGCGUAAAGCGCGCGUAGGCGGCCACCGCAAGUCGACUGUGAAAUCUCCGGGCUUAACCCGGAAAGGUCAGCCGAUACUGCGGGGCUAGAGUGCAGAAGGGGCAACUGGAAUUCUCGGUGUAGCGGUGAAAUGCGUAGAUAUCGAGAGGAACACCUGCGGCGAAGGCGGGUUGCUGGGCUGACACUGACGCUGAGGCGCGAAAGCUAGGGGAGCGAA
rnacentral:rRNA from 1 species